rnacentral:lncRNA from 1 species
AUUUCACUUGAAAAUGAGGGACCAUUUGUGAAAAUUGGAAUGUGCUUUUACACGAAAUCGCGAUUGCGUCCAAGAACUGUCUCGUAUAUCUCUAAAGCGAUAAAGGAUUGAUUUUUUCUUCUUCUGCCGUUCAAAAUUUAAAUCACUAUAUCAUUCUGCAAAUUGCGUAGACUAAAAAUCGAUAAUCGAAAGAAUGUCGGGUAAAGGGGCAAAGGGACUGUUAACUGGGAAAACCCCAGCAUCCAGGGACAAAGACAAGGACAAGAAGAAAGCACCUACUUCUCGAUCUUCCCGCGCUGGCCUUCAGGUUCAUAUUUGUAAUUUCAAUUCUUUUAUAUUUUCUGCCCCUUAGCCGUCGUUUUAUACUUUUAUAAGGUUUUCUGGAGGUAUUUUGUUCACUGGGAGAGGUGUUUAUUUAUGGGUUAUUGGUUAACGUAUAAUCUGUUUUUGUACCAUUCUUGUUUUCCUGUUUGGAUUAGGGUUUUAUUUUAUUAUUAUUUUUUUGGGUAAACUUUCUUUCUGAUUCCGUUCUAUAGUCUUUUAGGAUUUAUUUUGUUUCGAUUUGUUUUGGGCGGAGCCUGAGUAUUCUUGUAUGCAGAAGAUAAGGGUUGUGAAUUUGAGUAAAUUUUGUGUUUAAAAAUUGAAAGAAAAUGUCUAAACUCGUGUCCUCAAUUGCUCGUGAGAAACACUUGAUGGCCCAAAAAAAUUGUGAAUUGUGUCAUCUGUAUUAACUUGCUGUUUGUAAACAAGAAAAAAUUUAAGGAGGACUCACGGUAGGAAAAAUAAUUUAGUGAUUUGAUUAGCUGCAAGGCUUUGGCAGCAAUGUCGAGUCUUCUUGAUUAAGGAAUUCUACUUUUCGUUUCUUUUCAUUUUGUUGAAAACAUGAGAGGUUUGAUACUUAAGAGGUUUGUUCGUUCUGCUAGGAUGUGAACUCUAGGUCAGAAAAAGAAAUUCAAUAAAUCAAUUCAAAUUUGACAUCAAAUUUUUGUAGUUCUAAUUCUGAAAGCCCAAUGAAAUGUAUCAAUCAAGACAAAUGACACACCAUUGACAGGAAUUGAUUUUGAGGAGUAAUCACUAACUAUUUGACAUAACUUGAUAUUUACUUAGCAAAGCUCCCUGUCAAAAUCAAUCUUAGUCCUUAUUGAUUUCCUGUUCUCAUAAAUCGAGUCUACUAACAUGUGUGGUUUUUAUUUAGAUCACAGCACAUUCUUAAUGUGGACUGAACUUACAGUAGGUUGCGUGACUGAAAAAUAGACAUUGGCGCUUCCGACAUAGUAACAUAGUAAUUUGUGAAUUGGUUGAAGACAAACACGAGGUUUAUGUUAUGGUAAAAAAAAAAAAUAAUCCAAAUUUAACUUCCCUUAAGGCCCGUCUUAGAGUGGGGAAUGCAAAAACCCUUUAGGAAGCUAACUGUGAGGCACCUCUUAGUGGCUUACACCUUAGUUGUGUGAGGCACACACCUCACAGCACCGCGUCAAGACUUAUGGCCCACAAAACAUAAGAUUUUGAGAAUAGUUCAUUGCUUACUCAAACAUUGAACAAUUUUGUUACUCAGAGACUUACUUCGAGGAUAUUCCACUGCCCUCGCUAAGUAACAUGAUUGCUUCUUUGUAAAGUUUUCUUUUAUUUAUUUGCGUGUUUUAAAUUGUACUGUAAUGAAUUUUGAUUUUGAAAGAUUAUUUAUGAUGUAUUAUGGGCUUAUUUUGCAUUUUUUUUUUAUUGGGUAUAAGGUGAGGUUUAUGCCUUAAAGCGCCUAGAGGCUUAUACCUUGUCUUAUGAAGGAAAAAAGGCCUCAAUACCUAAUUACACCUUUAUAAACAUUGAUUUAUGAUUUUAUGUUACCGUUUAUGUCAAAGGAUUGGAUUCCAGAAGUGGCAUUAAGAUCAUGAUUGGAGGUCUUGUCUCCAUUCUAAAACUGGUUGAGAACAUAAAUAGGGAGCGAUUCAUAUUCUUGUGAUGCCAUUUUGUUUUAGUUUAGAUUUUAGCAAGAUGCUAGUUAUAUUAUAGUUCCAAAACUUGGACAACAGUUAUUGAGUUUUUUUGUAGGUUUGAAGGCCCAUAGGUUUUCACCUUGUUAGAGGUUUUGCCACACUAAAUUUGGUGUUCAUAUUUAUUGCUUUACACAAAUGGUUCUACUUCAAAAUUCCGCGUGUUAGUUGGCUCAAACUUCGCACAUGGAAAAGUCUAUAUGAGGGUUUAUAUUAAUUCAUUAGAUAAAAGAGUGUG